UUGCCACCACGUAUAAGUCCGGUCCCCUCCUUCCUCUAUUACACCAAUAACAACCAAAGUCAGAGUAAUGUGCCCCAGUGACCGUCUUAACAACUUCCUUCUGAUAAAAAAAAGAGAAAAAAAAGAACUCUAACAAAACUCGUUACUUUGACCUAUAACACCCCCGUCCCUUCCUCCUCACCCAUAAGAACACUACCAAAAACACCCCCAAAAGUCUACCAACAAUAACACAACUUGAGGACGCUGUAGGAUAUCGUUUCCCGAGAGUGGCAACGACGGGAGAGGGAAAGGAGGAGAGGGGUUCGUCUGGCAGCGAGGGGAGAUUCGGGCAGUGUGGGGUCAGUCUCGCUUCAGCCGCCGUAGCGUGAGGGUGGCAGAGCGGAGUUGAGGAAGGCAAGUCUGAGCUGAGUCGUGCGUGCGUUUCUCUCGCUCUCUCUUUUAAAAAAUCAGUAACUUGAAUUCCUGCAAACUGUUAACAUUCCCGACUGUGUAAAAGGACGGAAUGGUCUAAAGGCUAAGUAUUGUUUAUAUGUAAUUGUUGAAAAUCUUAGACCAAGAGUGAGAUAAUCAAGGUUUUAACGAGACACAACUUUUUGCAAAUAUUCCGAAAGACGAGUGAACGAAAAAAAAAAAAUAAAUAAAUAAAAUAAAAAAAAUAAAAAGAAAUUACCAAUAAAAUCAUGAAUAUUUCGAGUGCCUCCUUCGUGACCUGACCUUCUGACUUCAAGGGCAGAAAUAUAGAAAUAAAUAAAUAAAUAAAUACAAAAAUGGACUGUUUGAAAUAUUAGGAAAAAGACUACCUUCGCGACUUUUAUUGACCCAAAAGUGACCUCGUGGUGGCGUCAUCUGGUGGUGACCUGACCCUCACCCUCCCGCCCCUGACUUGCCGCGGGCGUGAUGAGGGCGGCGCGUGAGUGACCAUCCCUCCCGCCCACCCUCCCGCCCACACCUCCAAGAAGGUCCCCCGCCUCUUCACGCUCAGAGAUGCAGCCUCCAAGGGUCGGCGGAGGAUGCAGGGCAGGACGGCCGGUGGUGAUAGCGGCUACAGCUAUUUCCAUCAUGCUGUGUCUUUUGCCUAAGCUCUCGUCCUGCACGCCUGCCCCGCCUAUUACUCCCACAGCGACGCCUUCAGAAGACGUGGCGGAACCCCAGUGGAUCCCGACAGGAGGAGGAGGAGGAGGAGGAGGAGGAGGAGGAGGAGGAGGAGGAGGAG